rnacentral:rRNA from 1 species
UACGUAGGGUGCGAGCGUUGUCCGGAAUUAUUGGGCGUAAAGAGCUUGUAGGCGGUCUGUCGCGUCUGCUGUGAAAAUCCGGGGCUCAACCCCGGACUUGCAGUGGGUACGGGCAGACUAGAGUGUGGUAGGGGAGACUGGAAUUCCUGGUGUAGCGGUGAAAUGCGUAGAUAUCUGGAGGAACACCGGUGGCGAAGGCGGCAUCCUGGACCGGUAUUGACGCUGAGGCGCGAAAGCUAGGGGAGCAAACGGG